CGUUGUGAGAAGUUCAUUAAACCUUAUCAUUUAGAGGAAGGAGAAGUCGUAACAAGGUUUCCGUAGGUGAACCUGCGGAAGGAUCAUUG
rnacentral:rRNA from 7 species